CAGCAGCCGCGGUAAUACCGGCGGCCCGAGUGGCGGUCACUAUUAUUGGGCUUAAAACGUCCGGAGCCGGGUUGGGAAGUCCUCCGGGAAAUCUGGCCGCUUAACGGUCAGAAUGCCGGAGGAUACUCCCAGCCUAGGGAGCGGGGGAGGCCGAGGGGAUUCCCGGAGGAGGGGGGAAAUACUAUAAUCCCGGGAGGACCACCUGUGGCGAAGGCGCUCGGCUGGAACGCGUCCGACGGUGAGGGACGAAGGCCAGGGGAGCAAACCGGAUUAGAUACCCGGGUAGUCCUGGCUGUAAACGAUGCGGACUUUGUGUCGGACAAGCUAUGAGCUUGUCCGGUGCCGGAGGGAAACCGUUAAGUCCGCCGCCUGGGGAGUACGGCCGCAAGGCUGAAACUUAAAGGAAUUGGCGGG
rnacentral:rRNA from 1 species